rnacentral:lncRNA from 1 species
GCAUUUUUAAGCGCAUCAGAGCUUUGCAGAAGAGCCAGAAUAGAAAUUUGUGCUGGUAUUUUGUUCAGUUGCUCAACGACUGAGUACUUCUUAACCUGUAUCUUCCUUCAAAGGUUAUCGAGUCCAGUUUCAAUUGUUCGUCCAGAGGCUUGCUUGUUGGACUUAGCCAAAUGUUGUGGGGUGUAUACCCUGCGUAUCCUGGUCAUGCCCUGUGUGUCGAUUGCUUCUCCAGUAUAUGUGUUUCCCUUCCUUCUAGCCUCAACUGUGUAAUCCCAAGGUAUGGCAUUUGACUUGAACGGGUUCAUGUCUGUCAUGGAAUCCAGAGUAGGCAUCUUGGGAGGUAUCACGGUGACUGCAAAUGGUGCAGGUGC